UACGUAAGGUCCGAGCGCUGUCCGGAAUAAUCGGGCUUAAAGGGUACGUAGGCGGAUAAGCAAGUUAGAAGUGAAAUCCUAUAGCUCAACUAUAGUAAGCGUUUAAAACUGCUCAUCUUGAGGUCUGGAAGGGAAAGUGGAAUUCCUAGUGUAGCGGUGAAAUGCGCAGAUAUUAGGAGGAAUACCGGUGGCGAAGGCGACUUGCUGGCC
rnacentral:rRNA from 1 species